AACUGAGACACGGUCCAGACUCCUACGGGAGGCAGCAGUAGGGAAUAUUGCUAAAUGGGGGAAACCUCGAAGCAGCAACGCCGCGUGGAGGAUGAAGGUUUAGGAUUGUAAACUCCUUUUGUUAGUAGAAGAUAAUGACGGUAUCUAACGAAUAAGCACCGGCUAACUCCGUGCCAGCAGCCGCGGUAAUACGGAGGGUGCAAGCGUUACUCGGAAUCACUGGGCGUAAAGAGUGCGUAGGCGGGAGGACAAGUCAGGUGUGAAAUCCUAUGGCUUAACCAUAGAACUGCAUUUGAAACUAUUCUUCUGGAGUGU
rnacentral:rRNA from 1 species